AUGGAUACAGCUGGGCAUUUCGGUGAUUUGUUAUGGAUGCCUCACAGCCAGCAGAAAAUAUCAAAAGCUUGGGAAAAUCCUGACAAUUGCUUGAAUGUGUGGUGUCAUCGUGUUGGCAUCCCAUUUGAUCCUUUGUGUAGCUCAACUUUAGAGAACCUAGGUUUUUACCAGAUUGCAAUGAUGAAGAAAAUCAAUGUCGAUAAAUAUUUGAUAUCGGCAUUGGUCAAGCGCUGGCGGCCUGAGACAAAUAGUUUUCACUUACCUGUAGGUGAAAUGACAGUUACGCUGCAAGAUGUGAGUUGUUUGUGGGGGUUGUCUAUCCAUGGUAAACAACUUAUUGGCAAAGAUGAUGCAUCAUGGUCUUAG
rnacentral:rRNA from 1 species